UUUUUUUUUUUUUUUUUUUUUUUUUUCCCACUGUACAGCAAGGGGGUCAGGUUAUCCUUAGAUGUAUACAUUGCAGUUACAGUUUUCUCCCCCACCCUUUCUGCUGUUGCGACAUGAGUAUCUAGACAUAGUUCUCAAUGGGAACUCCUAUUUUUUAAAGAAUUUUUGUUAUAGUUGAUUUACAAUGUUCUGUCAAUUUCUGCUCCACAGCAAAGUGACCACUUACACAUACAUACAUUCUUUUUUUCACAUUAUCCUCCAUCAAUGUUCCAUCACAAGUGAUUGCAUAUACAGCAAGAUCUCAUUGCUUAUCCACUCCAAAUGCAAUAAUCUGCAUCUACUAAGCCCAAACUCCUAGUCCAUGCCCCUCCCUCCUCCUCCCCCUUUUUUCUUCGUCAGAUUUAAUACAACGGUGAGUCCAGACUGCUCUUAAAAUUGAGGUAACUUAUCUCAGUAGUCCUGCAAGUUCUAUACUUGUUCUUUUCAUAUCUACCAGGGUGCUUGAUAAAUUUGCUUCAAUUGCACUGAACAUACCCCAAAGACGAUAAUUCAUAAAGUGAAAAAUAUGAGUCGGUAUCUCAACAUCUGAAGUCGGAGUUUUUUUUCUAUGUUUUCUUUAAAAAUAGAGCUAUUUUUACUUAAUUGCAUUUACAACACAGACACUUCUUAAGAUUUACUUUAUUGGAGUAUGGUGGAUUUACAAUGUUGUGCUAAUUUCGGCUGUAUGGCAAAGUGACUUAGUUAAACAUAUAUACAUUCUUUUUAAAGACAUCCUUUUCCAUUAUAGUUUAUCACAGGAUUCGGAACAUAGUUCCCUGUGCUCUGCAUAGGACCAUGUUGCUUAUCCCUCCUAUAGAUACUAGUUUGCACCUGCUAAUCCCCAACUUCCGAUCCUUCCCUCCCCCACGCCCUCCCCUCCCCCACCCCCGGCAGCCAUAAAUCUGCUGUGUAUGUUAACACAGAUACUUCUGAAUUCAAUUCCCUUGUUGCUGCAGCCUUCGCAAUUUGUAGAAACUACUGAUGCAAUGUUUUGAUUCAUUUACAUACUUGCUCCAACUAUUUUCUUGGCCUUUCUCUUCAUUUCAUUUGUUUUCUUGUUGUGCAGCUUAAUAUUUAAAAAUAACACUGUGAUACUCUUUGUGAUUUUUUUCUAUCACACAAACAGAAGGAAAGACAUUUUAAUCUUUCCAUUGUCCUGAUAAAUCAACACUCUUGCUUUGAAUCAUGAUUUGUUUUACACGAAACUCUUUACCCAAGGACUGUUCCAUGUAACUCUUUAAUUGAUUCUGACAUCAGGUGCGGAUCUAAUUUUUUUAGGUAGCUGAUUUCUUAUUCCAACAUAGGUUUCUAUUUGUUAACUAUUCUUACUUCCUUGUUUUACUGUGUCCUUGAAUGUCCUGUUGGUAUAUUAUUUGUUGAAUGUAGCCUCCUCUUUGGUAUAUUGUUAUUUGAAUAUAUUAUAAUAACUAAAAGGUAGCUUACGUCAUAUAGAGUGCUCUCGUCAUAUAGAGUAUAACUUUUAAAUCCCAAUCACCAGGGUCACAACCAAGGCUUACCACCUACAUGCUCUAUGACCUUCAAUGAGUCUCUUUACUAUUGCACCUCAGUAGUCUCAUCUCUAAAAUGGGGGCUAAAAUAACACCUGCCUUGACAUAAGCUCCUAUACAUGGAAGGCACAAACAACAAGGUCCUACUGAAUAGCACAGGGAAUUAUCUUCACUACCCUACGAUCAACCAGAAUGGAAAAACUAUUUUAAAAAAUUAACACCUGCCCCGCAUGCUUGUUAUGACAGUUUGGCUCUUUUCUGUGUGUGCUUAUUUUUUGGUAACACACACAGAAAUGCUUUCAUGUGACAUCAAGCUUAUCAAGAACGACUCCAGUCCCUGAUUGGUGUAAAUGUGUAAUGCAUUGAAGAGAACUUCCAUUUUUUAAGGAAGAGAAGACUGGGAAUGAGCCAGGUCUAGAGGAAGGCAGGCCCACAAGUUCCAUCUGAGAACUGACUGAGUUUGGGGUGUCUCUGAGAAAACCAAGAGGCAAUGUCCAGAAAGCAGCUAGAUUUGUUCCCCAGAAAACAAGAUGAGUAACGAGCUGCCUGGUGAUGCCCUCUGCUUUCUCAUCAGCUCACUGCAGGCAGAUUUCCAGGAUGCAGAGCCGGGCAGCCAUCCUUCUGCGUAGGAAAUAACUCUCCGCCAGGACGUGAAGCAUCUUUUCACUUAAGUUUUCUAAACGCGAGAAAAAAUGUUUAUCUAUGUGAGUCACUGCAGAUCUUUUGCAACAUGUUUUUUUGGGACUGUCGACUAAUGUUGUCCAAGAGAGGAUCCAAGUGGAACCAAGCAAAAUGUCAAGUAAAAUAUGGUUUCAGGCAUCUGUCUGAAGUCAGUAGAGUACUCAGACUUUCUGCGAUGAGUAUUCAGGGCAUGACCUAUUCUUAGGAUUCCAGUCAUUCAAUACUUUGGUGAAGAUAAUGCUGGACCCCUCACGUUUAAGACUUUCCAAAGCUUCUUAGAAUAGGAGGCUGUGCAAAGGUCAUGGAAGGUUCUUGCACUGAGGCAGCUGCCUACGUCAGACUCAGAAGGAAUCCACCA
rnacentral:lncRNA from 1 species